UACGAAGGGGGCUAGCGUUGCUCGGAAUCACUGGGCGUAAAGCGCACGUAGGCGGAUUGCUAAGUCAGGGGUGAAAUCCUGGAGCUCAACUCCAGAACUGCCUUUGAUACUGGCAACCUUGAGUCCGGGAGAGGUGAGUGGAACUGCGAGUGUAGAGGUGAAAUUCGUAGAUAUUCGCAAGAACACCAGUGGCGAAGGCGGCUCACUGGCCCGGUACUGACGAUGAGGUGCGAAAGCGUGGGGAGCAAACAGG
rnacentral:rRNA from 1 species